AGGCACCUUCGAUCGUCUUCUCCAAAAUCAAAAAUUUUAUCGACUGAAGACCGAGCUUCAGCAACGAUCGCCGCCUCCGAUCGUCUUCUCCAGCUCUAGUAUGGAACAAAUCAUGUGUGUCAUCAAAUAUGGGGGUCAAUGGAGAGAAAAUACAAAUUAUGAUGACUACACAAUGACGGGAAUUCUAAUUUCAACCAAUUCAUCACUAGCAAGCUUGAUGGAGCUGAUAAAAAUAGA